GGCAAAGAUGAACAGUGCUUAAUUUCUGACACCUCUUGUAUGAGAAGAGCUUUGAAUAAAGGCUCUUCUUUGAGCACAGACAGCAACUUUCUGAGCC